rnacentral:rRNA from 1 species
CGGAGGGGACUAGCGUUGUUCGGAAUUACUGGGCGUAAAGCGCACGUAGGCGGAUCGGACAGUCAGAGGUGAAAUCCCGGGGCUCAACCCCGGAACUGCCUUUGAAACUCCCGGUCUGGAGUUCGAGAGAGGUGAGUGGAAUUCCGAGUGUAGAGGUGAAAUUCGUAGAUAUUCGGAGGAACACCAGUGGCGAAGGCGGCUCACUGGCUCGAUACUGACGCUGAGGUGCGAAAGCGUGGGGAGCAAACAGGAUU